rnacentral:rRNA from 2 species
UGGGGAAUAUUGGACAAUGGGCGAAAGCCUGAUCCAGCAAUGCCGCGUGAGUGAUGAAGGCCUUAGGGUUGUAAAGCUCUUUUACCCGGGAAGAUAAUGACUGUACCGGGAGAAUAAGCCCCGGCUAACUCCGUG